rnacentral:rRNA from 1 species
CUUUGGGAUAACCCUCGGAAACGGAGGCUAAUACCGAAUAUGACGCAUCGUCGCAUGGUGGUGUGUGGAAAGUUUUUCGGCCUGGGAUGGGCUCGCGGCCUAUCAGCUUGUUGGUGGGGUGAUGGCCUACCAAGGCGACGACGGGUAGCCGGCCUGAGAGGGCGACCGGCCACACUGGGACUGAGACACGGCCCAGACUCCUACGGGAGGCAGCAGUGGGGAAUAUUGCACAAUGGGCGGAAGCCUGAUGCAGCGACGCCGCGUGAGGGAUGACGGCCUUCGGGUUGUAAACCUCUUUCAGCAGGGACGAAGCGUAAGUGACGGUACCUGCAGAAGAAGCGCCGGCCAACUACGUGCCAGCAGCCGCGGUAAGACGUAGGGCGCGAGCGUUGUCCGGAUUUAUUGGGCGUAAAGAGCUCGUAGGCGGCUUGUCGCGUCAACUGUGAAAACCCGCGGCUCAACUGCGGGCUGGCAGUCGAUACGGGCAGGCUAGAGUUCGGUAGGGGAGACUGGAAUUCCUAGUGUAGCGGUGAAAUGCGCAGAUAUCAGGAGGAACACCGGUGGCGAAGGCGGGUCUCUGGGCCGAUACUGACGCUGAGGAGCGAAAGCGUGGGGAGCGAACAGGAUUAGAUACCCUGGUAGUCCACGCUGUAAACGUUGGGCGC